rnacentral:rRNA from 1 species
GGGGUUGCAUGGUCGGGGUUGUGGGACUUUUCGUCGUGUUCUGCCGAGCACGGAACGUUACAGCGCAUCAUAGACGAACAGGUUUGAAUGCCUGGCCAGAGCGGGUGCGAGCCCCGUAGUCGAAAUGGUGUUAUGGCGUGGAGAGUAUCCCAAGUAGCACGGGGCCCGAGAAAUCCCGUGUGAAUCUGUCAGGACCACCUGAUAAGCCUAAAUACUCCCAGAUGACCGAUAGCGGACAAGUACCGUGAGGGAAAGGUGAAAAGUACCCCGGGAGGGGAGUGAAAUAGUACCUGAAACCGUUUGCUUACAAACCGUCGGAGCCUCCUUGUUGGGGUGACGGCGUGCCUUUUGAAGAAUGAGCCUGCGAGUUAGUGCUCUGUGGCGAGGUUAACCCGUGUGGGGCAGCCGUAGCGAAAGCGAGUCCGAAUAGGGCGUUGUGAGUCGCAGGGUCUAGACCCGAAGCGAAGUGAUCUAUCCAUGGCCAGGUUGAAGCGACGGUAAGACGUCGUGGAGGACCGAACCCACUUCAGUUGAAAAUGGAGGGGAUGAGCUGUGGAUAGGGGUGAAAGGCCAAUCAAACUUCGUGAUAGCUGGUUCUCUCCGAAAUGCAUUUAGGUGCAGCGUUGCGUGUUUCUUGCCGGAGGUAGAGCUACUGGAUGGCCGAUGGGGCCCAAAAGCUUACUGACGUCAGCCAAACUCCGAAUGCCGGUAAGUGAGAGCGCAGCAGUGAGACUGUGGGGGAUAAGCUUCAUAGUCGAGAGGGAAACAACCCAGACCACCAACUAAGGUCCCUGAGCGCGUGCUAAGUGGGAAAGGAUGUGGAGUUGCACAGACAACCAGGAGGUUGGCUUAGAAGCAGCCACCCUUGAAAGAGUGCGUAAUAGCUCACUGGUCAAGUGAUUCCGCGCCGACAAUGUAACGGGGCUCAAGCACGCCACCGAAGUUGUGGCAUUGACAUUAGUGGUAGGCCUUCGUGGUCCAGCCGUGUUGAUGGGUAGGAGAGCGUCGUGUGGCGAGUGAAGCGGCGGUGUGAACCAGCCGUGGACGCCACACGAGUGAGAAUGCAGGCAUGAGUAGCGAAAGACGGGUGAGAAACCCGUCCUCCGGAAGACCAAGGGUUCCAGGGUCAAGCUAAUCUUCCCUGGGUAAGUCGGGACCUAAGGCGAGGCCGACAGGCGUAGUCGAUGGACAACGGGUUGAUAUUCCCGUACCGGCGAAGAACCGCCCA